rnacentral:rRNA from 1 species
GAUGAACGCUGGCGGCGUGCCUAAUACAUGCAAGUCGAGCGAACGGACGAGAAGCUCGCUUCUCUGCUGUUAGCGGCGGACGGGUGAGUAACACGUGGAUAACCUACCUAUAAGAAUGGGAUAACUUCGGGAGACCGGAGCUAGUACCGGAUAAUAUUUUGAAACGCAUGGUUCAAAAAUGAAAGACGAUCUGGAUGUCACUUAUAGGUGGAUCCGCGCUGCAUUGGCUAGUUGGUAAGGUAACGGCUUACCAAGGCAACGAUGCAUAGCCGACCUGAGAGGGUGAUCGGCCACACUGGAACUGAGACACGGUCCAGACUCCUACGGGAGGCAGCAGUAGGGAAUCUUCCGCAAUGGGCGAAAGCCUGACGGAGCAACGCCGCGUGAGUGAUGAAGGUCUUCGGAUCGUAAAACUCUGUUAUUAGGGAAGAACAUAUGUGUAAGUAACUGUGCACAUCUUGACGUUACCUAAUCAGAAAGCCACGGCUAACUACGUG